UACAGAGGGUGCAAACGUUGCUCGGAAUUAUUGGGCGUAAAGCGCGUGUAGGCGGCUUGUUAAGUUGGUUGUGAAAACCCAUGGCUCAACCAUGGAAGGGCGUCCAAAACUGGCAAGCUAGAGUCCCGACGAGGAUGGCGGAAUUCCCAGUGUAGAGGUGAAAUUCGUAGAUAUUAGGAGGAAUACCGGAGGCGAAGGCGGCCUCUGGACCAUUUCUGACACUGAGACUCGAAAGCGUGGGUAGCAAACAGGG
rnacentral:rRNA from 1 species